rnacentral:rRNA from 1 species
AUUGAACGCUGGCGGCAUGCCUUACACAUGCAAGUCGAACGGUAACAGGUCUUCGGAUGCUGACGAGUGGCGAACGGGUGAGUAAUACAUCGGAACGUGCCCGAGAGUGGGGGAUAACGAGGCGAAAGCUUUGCUAAUACCGCAUACGAUCUCAGGAUGAAAGCAGGGGACCGCAAGGCCUUGCGCUCACGGAGCGGCCGAUGGCAGAUUAGGUAGUUGGUGGGAUAAAAGCUUACCAAGCCGACGAUCUGUAGCUGGUCUGAGAGGACGACCAGCCAGACUGGGACUGGGACACGGCCCAGACUCCUACGGGAGGCAGCAGUGGGGAAUUUUGGACAAUGGGCGCAAGCCUGAUCCAGCCAUGCCGCGUGCAGGAUGAAGGCCUUCGGGUUGUAAACUGCUUUUGUACGGAACGAAAAGACUCUGGUUAAUACCUGGGGUCCAUGACGGUACCGUAAGAAUAAGCACCGGCUAACUACGUGCCAGCAGCCGCCGUAAGAC